rnacentral:lncRNA from 1 species
UCUUUCCUUUUAACUUUACCUUUUCUCUUUCUCUUUCUCUUUCUUCCCAAAUCUUUCUCUUUCUUUGUAACUUUACCUUUUCUCCUUCUCUUUUCUCUUUCAAAUCUCUCAAAUUUUACUUUCAAUUUUUUUUCCUCACGUUUUUUAUUAGGAUUGUGAUCCACAAAACAGGUAACUAUUAAAUUCAGUUAUUGCAUGUUAUCUAUUUCUCAAUUUUUUUUUAAUAUUUUGUAUUGUAAAUCAUUAUCAAGAUCGUUUUUGUGAGUUGAUAUAGUUGAAAAAAUUGAUUUUUGGAUGAGAAUUAAAAUUGAAUUUUGUUUUGUUGCGAUUAAUGAAGGAUAAUCAGAGUUGAAUGGAUAUUGUAGAUAAUUUUGGGUUUAUUUAUUGUUGAUAGUUUUUUUUUCAAUUGUUUUUCAGUGAAAUUUAAUUUUUUAUGAGUUGAUAUAGAUGAAAAAAUUAAUUUUGGAUGAGAAUAGGAACUGAGUUUUAUUUUGUUGCGAUUAAUGGAGAAUAAUCGGAGUUGAAUGAAUAUUGUAGAUGAUUUUGGGUUGAUUUGUUGUUGAAGAAAACAUAGAGGAAGAUGUAUUUUUUUUUUGUAUAUGUAUUUUUAUUUACUGUUAUGUAUUUAGGAAUUUCAGUAAAGUUGUUAUCAAUUUUGGGUAAUAUAUAAUUUUUUUGAGAAGCUAAUAUGUAUUUAGGGAUUUCAGUAAAGCUGAUUUGUGAAGAUGAUAGGUUAAAUAUAAAUUUUUGGUUAACAUGUUUUUAUUUAUAUUUUUUGUAAAGCUGCUAUGUUUAGUUGUAUUUGUAUGUUAAAUGAAUUUUCUAAGUUGAAUGUAUGGAAUUUAUUAUACUUGUUAUGUAUUUUCAGUAUAUUGGAAUGUUGAAAUAUAAAAAUACAUUCGUGGUUAUGGACGUAUUUGUAUCUGUUGAAAUACAUACAGCUUUUUAAGUAAAUUUUCAAUACAAUUUAUGUCGGUUUUCCAUAUAUACAAAUGACUGACUAAAUAUACAUUUAAGGUAUACGUUGAUAGUUUGUAUGUUUUAUAGAUACAUAUGUACUUUCAUUUGUAUUUUUGUUAGGUUCAACAUACAUUUUAAGGUAUAGGGAAACAUUUGUAUUUCUAUGCAUACAUAUCAAAUUUCAUAUGUAUUUUGCUUUAGUGAUGAUUUUGUAUUUUUGUUUUGUUCAAUAUACAUAUGCAUAUUUAUAUGUAUUUUUUGAUGUGUUAAUUAUGUUUUAUUAUUUUUUACAGUUUAUUAAGGGGUAGUUUUACUUUGUAUAUGAUACGGGAAUAAUCACAGAUAUGGACUUAGGAGAAUCCGUGUUGGACCCGAGCCUUGGCAUGUGCAAUUGAAGUGUAAAAGAGGCCCAAAAUGCACCCAAAUCAGCCCAUAAAUUACACUAGAUGGGUGCUCAUUCUUGAAGGGCCUUUUUGGUCAUUUUAACUUCUAUUUAUUUUGUAAUAUAUAAGGAACAUAUUAGAGGUUAUUCACUCAGUCUUUGGAUGAUAUUUGUAAGUCUUGUAAGACUUGAAAUACUAUAGUCAGGGCUUGGAAAAGCCACCAACCGGAACUAGGACAAGAUCUAGUGUGGAAUCGCUAGUGAUUGUAAAUUACUUGGAACAUUGAUGCUUGGGAGGUGGAAUCCGAUCUUGUAUUUUUGUAAGAGAUAGGUUUAUUGUUGUGUAUAUUGUUAAGGGUCCAAGAUUGUCCAUUCUUGGGUUCUUAAGAUUAUAACUUCAUGUGGUUUAUCUAUCUAUCCUUUUACCUUCUUGUAAUCUUGUUUAUUGUUUGUAUUGUAAUCUUGUGUUCUUGUUGUUAUUGUUAAAUCUGAAUCUUGUGUCUUCUUGUUUAUCAUCUUGAGUUCAUCUUCUUGUUGUUGUUGUUGCUGUUUUAGUGUUGAAACACACCAUUAUAUCUUUUAUUCUUGUUGUUGGUAGUGAAUCCGAGAGUGGUCUCCAAAAAGGUCCUCGGAUCCUUAAGAUUUACGGACUGUUUUGGAGUUGUUUCAUGUUUCUCUGAUUACUCUUAUUUCAGUAUCGGUGCCGCGUGAUGAAAUAUUCAUUGUAAGAAAACUUUCAAGUUUGCACCACAUAUGUGCUGCUACAGUGAUAAUGAUAUUGAAGGAAGUUUACAGUUCAUAUUGAUGUGUUAUUUGUAGAGGAUUUGUAAGUUUGUACAAAAUAUAUUUUAAUUAUUAUUCAAUAUUUUUUUUUGUAGGGACUGUGGUUUGUAUAUGGUUACAUACGCAGAGUGUGUUUCUUAUGGUCAAGGCAUCUGGCAGUUGAGUUUAAUCCUAACGUUUUUCGUACAAGAUAUGUUUCACUAUUGUGGAAUUACAUCAUGAGGAAAAAAGAAGCAAAAGCUCAAAGUGACGACGAAGCGUCAUUGAGGCCUGUUAGAAAAAGCAAGAUAACUAGUGUCACAAAAGUAUUAGAAGUCUGAAGGUUGAUGAUUUUAUUACAUUAUGUAAUUGACAAGAUUUAAC